rnacentral:rRNA from 1 species
GAUGAACGCUGGCGGCGUGCCUAAUACAUGCAAGUCGAGCGAACGGACGAGAAGCUUGCUUCUCUGAUGUUAGCGGCGGACGGGUGAGUAACACGUGGAUAACCUACCUAUAAGACUGGGAUAACUUCGGGAAACCGGAGCUAAUACCGGAUGAUAUUUUGAACCGCAUGGUUCAAAAGUGAAAGACGGUCUUGCUGUCACUUCUAGAUGGAUCCGGGCUGCAUUAGCUAGUUGGUAAGGUAACGGCUUACCAAGGCAACGAUGCAUAGCCGACGUGAGAGGGUGGUCGGCCACACUGGAGGUGAGACGCGGUCCAGGCUCCUACGGGAGGCAGCAGUAGGGAAUCUGACGCAGUGGGCGGAAGCCUGACGGAGCGGCGCCGCGUGAGUGAUGAAAGUCUUCGGAUCGUAAAACUCUGUUAUUAGGGAAGAACAUAUGUGUAAGUAACUGAGCACAUCUUGACGGUACCUGGUCAGAAAGCCACGGCUAACUACGUG